UGUUGAAAAUAAGAAUCAAUAGUCAAAAGUAUUAAAAUCAAUUCAAAGAUUAGAUCUUUGAAUUGAAUAUAAGAGUGUGUAUAUUUGAUUUUAAGAAGAUUUUGUAAGACUUUUUAUCCAUCCUUAUACUAUAUAAGGAUGCAUUGUAAUCAAGGAAAUAAGCAAGCAAUACAAUAACAAUCAUUUGCUUCUCUUUACUUUUCUCUACAUUAUGAUAUGCAUUAUGAUAAUACCAUAUUUUAACAUGGUAUCAGAGCAGGUUCAGCAGGUUCAACCAUAGGAACUCAGAAACGAAUCAUCAUCGUUCAUAAUCCAAAACCAAAACCAUUCCUAGCCAAUACACCAAACCAUUCCUAACCAAUACACCAAACCAAAACCUCUGUUCUUCAUUUCCUGAAAAAAAUGCCAGGAGAAAUUGAAACCAUAAACCAAACAGAUUCAAAUGAAUCAAUUCAACAAAUCCACAGAAUGGAUCGAACUUACCCAAAUCCACUCGACUGGUGUGAAGAAGGGAUCAAUAAGCACAGAAAACUGAUCGGAAAUCACCGAUUAUUUCAGUUCCUCUCCGGAUUUGAUAGGAGAUAUGACAGACUUCGUCGGGACAUUCUCAAGGAAGUUCCCUCAGCCGAGUCGGCAUUCUCAAGAGUGAGAUGGGAGGCCGCCCGGCUACAGCCGGCAACCAACCCGGACCCUUCAUCAUCGGGAGCCAUCGGGACCGGGAUUGCCACCGUCCACUGCCAUACGCCUCGGCCGGAAGACGGCUUUCAGCCGACCACCACCGGCAGAGGUCAGCCAAACCGCUCAGGCAGCUCUUCAUCGAACUCUCCGAGAUAUCAAAUUCACCGUCAAACAGCAGCGGCAACUCCUCCGCUGCUGCAGCUGCUGCGGCGCGGAUCUGAUCAACGGCAUCGCCACGCCACGGCCAGGCAGCAACAUGUCGCUGACCGCCGACGUGUCGGUGAAGAACCCCAACUUCGCGUCAUUCCGGUACCCGGAGACGACGUCGGCGCUGUUCUACCGCGGCGCGGCGGUCGGCAAGGCGCGCGGCCCCGCGGGGAGGGCGCGGGCGCGGCGCACGGCGAGGAUGAACGUGACGGUGGAGAUGAUCGCGGAUCGGGUGCUGGCGCAGCCGGAUCUCGGGUCGGAUAUCAACUCGGGGCUCCUGACGCUGGGCAGAAUGGAGUAUCGGGAAUUACGGCGGAGGCGGCUGUGCAAGGGGGUAGAAAAAAUCGUGGAGGAGAAGGCGCCUAUGAAAGAGGCGCAGGUAUUGGAGGUGAAAUUAAAGGGUUUGGUGGUAUUUUGCAACAUAAACCCCUAAAUUUCAAUAAAACACAAAGGCUACCCCGAGGUUUUGUUAAAUUGCAGAACUUACCCCAUCUUAUGCAAACAGCCCCCCUACUCUAUUAAAUAUCAGAAUAGCCCCCAUUUGCAACAGUCCCUAAAUUCUCGAAAUUAUCUAGAAAAACCCCAAUCUUCUACAUAAUACUAAAAUCACUUCCCAAUUAUGUAGAGAGUCCCUAAAUUUUUCCGCUGCAUAUCAAAUCUCUUGUGAUAAUAGGGAUAGAGAGGAAGGGUGGAUUUUUGAUUGUGGAGCUACUGAUACGAUGACCUUUGAUAAAACUGAUAUUAUUAAGUCAUCAAUAUCCCACCGAACACAUGUUCAAACUGCAAGUGGUGAUUUGACUCGUGUUGAAGGAGCCGGAACUAUAGAAAUUUCUCCUACACUACGUCUCUCAAAUUGUCUAUAUGUUCCAUCUCUUUCACAUAAACUGUUGUCUAUUAGCCAUGUUACAAAAGAGCUCAAUUGUACCAUGAUAAUGCAUCCCCACUUUGUUUCUUCAGGAUAUCAGGACGGGGGAGAUUAUUGGGCGUGGCACUGAGCGGGAUGGAUUGUACUAUGUGGAUGAGAUAGCUCAACAAGGCAAGGUGAUGCUGGCUCACGGAACUGCUGACCGGGAAGCCUGGCUUUGGCACCGUCGGUUAGGGCAUCCAUCCACGGGGUAUCUUAAGCUUUUAUUUCCUAAAUUAGUAAAAAAAUGAGACUCUAUCUUGUGAGACUUGUGUUUUAGCUAAAAGCCACCGAAAAACUUUUAAGCCUAAUGACACACAAGUGAACUCCAUAUUUUCUCUUGUUCAUUCUGAUGUUUGGGGUCCUUCACCUGUUGUGGGGGGUCAAGGUUUUAGAUAUUUUCUACUCUUUAUUGAUGAUUGCACUAGGAUGACAUGGGUGUAUUUUCUCAAAAAUAAAUCUCAAGUUUUUGAAAAGUUCACUCAUUUCUUUAAAAUGAUUCAAACUCAAUUUCAAAAACAUAUCCAGACCCUUAGAACCGAUAAUGGGGGGGAGUUUGUCAAUCGAUCCAUGCAAGACUUCUGUCAACAAAGAGGGAUAAUUCAUCAAACCACUUGUUCCCAUACUCCCGAACAAAACGGUGUUGCUGAACGAAAAAUAGAAUUCUCCUUGAAAUGACCCGUGCUAUGAUGCUUGAGUCUAAGGUACCCACCCACUUCUGGCCUGAAGCUGUCGCCACCUCUGCUUACCUUAUAAAUCGCCUUCCCACCAGAACCCUCCAGCUUCAAACUCCUUUACAGAAAUUAUCCACUCUUUCUGAUAUACCUCUCGCUCUUACUCUUCAACCUCGAGUUUUCGGUAGUUCCGUAUUCGUUCAUAUUCCCAAGCAUGAACGGACUAAACUCUCUCCUUGUGCCAUUAAGUGUGUGUUUGUCGGGUAUGGUGUUAACCAAAAAGGGUAUAGAUGUUACAAUCCUAAAACCCGUCAAAUCAUAACUACCAUGAACUGCGACUUUCUUGAAACUGAGUAUUUUUACAGUACCCACCUUAACAGUCAGGGGGAGAGUGAGAUCGACCUGUUAAGUUGGUUACCAAUGCCAGGCCCGGAAGCAGACCCAACAGAAAAAGUUAGCCUUGCCACCGAGCAUGUUUCAUCCACUCCAGAACAAUCUAGUCCGCUGCAUGAGCCUAUAUCUUCUCCGCCACUGAUAUCUGAGGUAAGAGCUUCUGAACCUACUAUUGUGGCUUCUGAUUCUGCUGAUAAUAUUUCUCAAGUCAUUGAAGAAGAACAGGAGGAUAAUACAGUAGAUGGAGAUACUGGGAGAUAUGUGCUACCACCCAGGAGUAAUCGGGGUGUACCUCCUAAACGGUAUACCCCAGAGAAAAUUGUGAGGAAUUCCCGAUACUCAAUUGGAAAUAUCGCCAAGGGAAACUUGUCCAAAAAUGCCACAGCCUAUGAAGCGGCCUUAUAUGAUGAGGAGAUUCCACAAACAGCAGAGCAAGCCCUGAAGAUCGAGCAUUGGAGAAAUGCUAUGAAGAAAGAGAUAGGAGCCCUAAACCGAAACCAUACAUGGGAGAAGUGUAGACUACCAAAGGGGAAGAAAACUGUAGGAUGCAGAUGGGUCUUCACAAUCAAAAGGAGACCGAAUGGAUCUAUUGAGCGUUACAAAGCUCGAUUGGUCGCAAAAGGAUACACACAGAUGUAUGGAAUCGACUAUGAGGAGACCUUCUCACCUGUUGCAAAGAUGAACACUGUCAGAGUGCUCCUCUCAAUUGCUGCUAAUAAGGACUGGGAUCUUCAUCAGUUCGAUGUUACAAAUGCUUUCCUUCAUGGAGAGCUUGAAGAAGAGAGAGAAGUCUACAUGGAGGUGCCUCAAGGUUUUUCAGGAGAUUUUGGAGAGGGUGAAGUUUGCAAGUUGAAGAAAACCUUAUAUGGGCUCAAGCAGUCUCCCAGAGCUUGGUUUGGAAGAUUCACCGCAGCCAUGAAGAAGUUUGGGUACCAGCAAAGCAAUUCAGACCACACCUUAUUCUUGAAGAAACGAGGUGAUCUUAUUUCUUGCUUAGUCAUUUACGUUGAUGACAUGAUCAUAACAGGGGAUGACUUAGAAGAAAUUCAGAAGUUGAAAGAAAAUCUUUUUCAAGCAGUUCGAAAUGAAGGACCUUGGGAGACUAAAGUACUUCCUUGGCAUUGAAGUACUCAGAUCAAAGAGAGGAAUUUUUAUCAGUCAGAAGAAGUAUACUCUUGACCUUCUUGCAGAAGCAGGGAUGCUAGAUUGCAAGCCAGCUGAGACACCUAUGGCUGUCAAUCAUGGGCUACAGAUUGUGAAGGGAGCUGAAUUAGCGGAUCGAGGAAAAUAUCAACGUUUGGUAGGGAAGCUUAUCUAUCUCUCCCAUACUCGACCGGAUAUUGCCUACGCUGUUGGAGCGGUUAGCCAAUUCAUGCAUCAACCCCAAGUUGAUCACUGGGAAGCCGCACUCAGAAUUGUGAGAUAUCUGAAAGGAACCUUUGAUUAUGGAGUGUUAUUCAAGAAAUCUGGACACCUUGAGAUACAGGCAUACACUGAUGCUGACUGGGCUGGAAAUCCUGUCGACCGAAAGUCAACAGCAGGAUACUUCACCUUUAUUGGAGGCAACCUUGUCUCAUGGAGGAGUAAAAAACAGAAAGUGGUAGCACUCUCUAGUGCAGAAGCCGAGUUCAGAGGAAUCAAGAGUGGGCUGACUGAAGUCCUGUGGCUAAGAAGACUUUUAACUGAAUUAGGUCUUCAACCAUCAAAGACGUGCCAGAUGUUCUGCGACAAUAAAGCUGCUAUCAGUAUAUCAGAAAAUCCUGUGCAACAUGACAGGACGAAGCAUGUAGAGGUUGAUAGACACUUCAUCAAAGAGAAGAUCGAAAGUGGUGUUGUGUCUUUACCCUUUGUACGAUCCGAGGACCAACUUGCAGACAUUCUUACCAAAGCCGUCAAUUCCAAGAGUUUUACAGAAGUUCUCGACAAGUUGAGCAUCGGAAAUCCCGUCACUCAACUUGAGGGGGAGUGUUGAAAAUAAGAAUCAAUAGUCAAAAGUAUUAAAAUCAAUUCAAAGAUUAGAUCUUUGAAUUGAAUAUAAGAGUGUGUAUAUUUGAUUUUAAGAAGAUUUUGUAAGACUUUUUAUCCAUCCUUAUACUAUAUAAGGAUGCAUUGUAAUCAAGGAAAUAAGCAAGCAAUACAAUAACAAUCAUUUGCUUCUCUUUACUUUUCUCUACAUUAUGAUAUGCAUUAUGAUAAUACCAUAUU
rnacentral:lncRNA from 1 species